GGCUUAGUCAUCGCCGAGUAAAAAAUCCCACGUUGAUGGCCCAGUGCACCCGAAUCUGGGGUUCCCAACCUGGGGCUGCGCUGCCCAACACCCAGGGGUGUUUGGAAAUGAGGUUUUUGGUGAUCACAAUGUCAGGGGGCCAUACGGGGUGAGUGGGAGGGAUAGUGUGUGGGACAGCCCCGUGCAAUGAAGAACUGUCCUUGCCCAAAUACUGACAGUAUGCCCCUGGUUGAAAAACAAGCUUUUUUUUUUUUUUUUUUAAGUGACCACCAUGCCCAGCGUGGAUUCCAAGGCAGGGCUUGAAGUCUCGACCCUUGAGAUCAAAACUUGAGCUUAACCCAUUGAGUCACCCAGGCGUCCAGAAACAAGCUGGUUUUGGUAGUUUAGUGUAAAGUAAACCCUGCGCUCAAUGUGGGGCUUGAACUCACGAACCUGAGCUCAAGAGUCUCAUGUUCCACCGAUGGAGCCAGCCAGGCGCCCCAUCCUUGAACUGAUCUCGGGAUGUCCCUCGGAGCCUUCCCGUCUUGCCGGCCGCACCCACACCGCACAGCUGCUGCUGAUGAAGAAACGCGUCUGGAACUUCGACAGCACAGCACGAAAACCCUCCGCAGAUUAAAACCCUUCUCUAGCUUAAAGGUUAUGCAAUUCGUUUCGCACCUAGUAUUUGAAGUCAACGUAAGGUGCUCUGCUGGUCUUGGCGUGCGGCUGUGAGGGACGGAGAUGAAGAGUUCCGGUUGGCGUGACCCGUGCGGCGAAGGGAGUUGCGGUUUUCUGACAUUAAAUAUUAACACUGGGGAUUAAUAAUGAAGGCUGACAGUUCCUUUCUCCGUGUUUCUGAGCGUGUGUCUCUCCCCAGCCUGCAAGGCCCGCAUGCACAGGCCCUUGCCCU
rnacentral:lncRNA from 1 species